rnacentral:lncRNA from 10 species
UAAAAGCAGGCUGCCGGAGCCGGGAGUGGCAAUCCCCUAAUGUUCCCUUCCACCUUGUGGAAGUUUUGUUCUUUCGCUCUUUGCAAUAAAUCCCAUUGUUGCUCGCUCUUUGGGGUCUCACUGUCUGUGCGAGCUGUAAUACUCGCCGCAAAGGUGUCUGGCUUCACUUCCGAGACCAGCGAGACCCCGAACCCACCGGGAGGAAUGAACAACUCCGGAUGGGAGGGACAAACAACACCAGACGCACCGCCUUAAGAGUCCUAACGCUCACCGCGGAGGUCUGCGGCUUCACUCUUGAAUGAAGCCAGCGAGAUCACAAACCCACCAGAAGGAAGGAACUCUGAACACAUCCGAAAAUCAGAAGGAACAAACUCCGGACACACUACCUUUAAGAACUGUAACACUCAAAUCGCGAGGGUCCACGGCUUCGUUCUUGAAGUCAGUGAGACCAAGAACCCACAAAUUCCGGACACUUCCCCACACAGAGGGAACUGGCCUAACACUCUGGUGGUGCCAAUAGGAUGUACUGACAGAUCAGAAGUGGUCGUGAGAGAAGGAGCAAGUAGCCAGAAGAGUGAAGUGUGCACUGGCUGAGAUGUGGGAGCAGGUGUUGUUGGUUUCCCCGGACAAGAAGGCCCUCGCCAGAUAUCAAGGCCUUAAGCUUGGACUUCCCAGCCUCCAGAACUGUCUUAUGUAUCAACAAAAUCACACCAGACCACCCAAAGCUGGCCCUGCCAACUGACCACACACACCCCUGCCUGAAAGGCAUGUUUCAAUGUGCAACAGACGCCUGCCACUCAGGGGACAUCAAAUGUUCAUGAGAACUCGCUAACCUCGAAACAGGUUCUACAAAUUCAAAAAAACCACCCGUGGCCUGGCUCUGGGCUGAAGCUGAGUCCUGGCUUGAAAUCCCCUGCCUUAAUCUCUCUUCGAAGACUUUUCUGCAUUCAUCUGAGUCCUCAUCCUCCAAGGCAGGGCUCAGGCUUGGGCUCAGGCUCCCAGCCAUGUAUCCCUCCUGGACCAUUCCUGACUCCUUUCCAGUAUCCUUAUCACUUGUACCACAUACGUUGGCCUUUGAUCCUGUGUACUGUUGGAUUUGUCUUUACUUCACAGGUUCAUCUUGUCUCCCCAAGAACAAUGAGAGUUGCCUCAAGGGGUAGAACCAUGCUUUUUGUUUUCUUUUGAAUUCAUUACAGCACAGCCAAAAGCUCAACACACAAAACACACUCAGUAAAUAUCUGUUGAACAGAAUAAAAGCCAUUCCGCAUAACCAACCCUGAUCUCUUUUGCUGGACUGUAAACCAACCUACCUAUUGUUAGUCCUUCACAGAUUAUAUGGUGGAUCUGAACACAUCAGGUAGAACCUUUGAUAAACUUAAAGUCCUUCAUUGAAUCACUCUGUAGCCACUGUUUUCUCUAGGACAAAAGCUUUAAAUAUUUUGAGAAAAUUGUACAAGACCAUCCAUCCUGAUUCUCAUGGCUUUGGUUGUUCAGAAAGGAAAUCUUUGUACACACACCAUUUCACUGCCUCCUUUUCAGUUUCCCAAUUUGGAAAAAGGAAAAAUGUGAACUAUCCCCCUCUUCGCGUUCUUUUCUAACUGAAGUGAUAGAUUUCAGAGUCGUAUAAAGCUAAGAUUAUCGUUUAUCAUAUCUCAG